CCACCUAUGUUAGAAUGUUUCUUCUACAGAGCUGGACACCUGCUACUCCGGAACCUUAAAAAUACUCUGAAUACUCUGAAACAUGAAAUUAAUGGCCAGUUGGGACAGGAAAAUAUGAGGCCUUCUGGUUCUGUCUACUUCCAACUUGUCUACAUGACUGAUUUUUUUUUUUUUUUUAAACAUCAAGGACUUGGUGAGUUGUUUUGGAAUCCUGUAUUAAACGAUGUGCUUCUUCAAGGUCAGGGCAGGCACCCACUCAACUUUGCAUUCAUGAGCAAGAAUGCUGGUGACAGGCUUCUAUUGAGAUCUCCUGUCUGUAUGCCGUGACAAGACAGAGCGAGAAAACAUUGAUAAACUGAUGAAACCAUUGUGUGUCCUCUCAUUCGCUUGACUGUGUUACUCCGGGGGACCCUGCUGUGGGUUCUGUGUCUGUACAUCAUGCGCCACGAGCAG